CAAAACAAGGCUGUCACUUUCUCUCCUGUUCUUUCUAGACUGUCAUUCUGUCGUCCUCCUGAGCUGUGGAGUGUGACAAUGGUGUUU
rnacentral:pre_miRNA from 1 species